GUCAAGCUACCAAAGGCUCACGCCGGAAUACCCUUGGUCCACAAAGGCGAUGAAAGAACGUGGCUUAUCCUUGCCAUAAGACUUCGGGGAGCUUGGAGACCAGCUUUGAUUCC
rnacentral:rRNA from 1 species